rnacentral:rRNA from 1 species
AUUGAACGCUGGCGGCAGGCCUAACACAUGCCAGUCGAGCGGAUGAAGGGAGCUUGCUCCUGGAUUCAGCGGCGGACGGGUGAGUAAUGCCUAGGAAUCUGCCUGGUAGUGGGGGAUAACGUCCGGAAACGGGCGCUAAUACCGCAUACGUCCUGAGGGAGAAAGUGGGGGAUCUUCGGACCUCACGCUAUCAGAUGAGCCUAGGUCGGAUUAGCUAGUUGGUGGGGUAAAGGCCUACCAAGGCGACGACCCGUAACUGGUCUGAGAGGAUGAUCAGUCACACUGGAACUGAGACACGGUCCAGACUCCUACGGGAGGCAGCAGUGGGGAAUAUUGGACGAUGGGCGAAAGCCUGAUCCAGCCAUGCCGCGUGUGUGAAGAAGGUCUUCGGAUUGUAAAGCACUUUAAGUUGGGAGGAAGGGCAGUAAGUUAAUACCUUGCUGUUUUGACGUUACCAACAGAAUAAGCACCGGCUAACUUCGUG